ensembl:lncRNA
CCCGGGUCCCUUUCUCCCCAGACCUGUUGAUUCCCUCCUCGUCAGACCUUGGGGUCACACACGUCUUUUGUACCUUCCUCACAUCCCUACAACAUCAAUAGCACUGGGCAGGUUUGUCUAAUAAACUUUUUGCGCUUCCUGGCUGGCCACUGAAAAUGCAGUUAGGCUCCUGGAGCUUUAAGAAGCUCCGGGCGUCCUGCCAGCCUGGAAAGUCUUGGCUGAGCCCCGGAUCCUCAGUUCCAGCCGCUCCCUGCUUCCUCCUUGCAGGCUGUCUGGCCUCCCUCACACAAAUCCUGCUCACAGGCAAGCCGCUCCCAGGAGAAGUCCGCUCAGCAGAGCUCCGGGGGCGUGGCAUGGCGGUGCUGAGGCCUGGUGCCUGAUCCCCCGAUCUGGUCUCCACUGCAAAAGCUUCGCCCGCAGGACUCAGGGACCGCCUGCGUCCUCUACCUGGGGUGCAGAAAGGGGACAGAGCUGGUGUCCAGCAUCCUCUCAUCUAGGCCACCAAGGAGCAGUUGGAGUUUCUGUGCAGCCGAGCAGAGCUGCAGACAGCUGUGAUGGGCCCCGGCCUAAGAGCCCCCGUCUCUGCUGGGCCUCGUGGCUCCUAGGAGUCCUCAGUUUCAUCAGAACCACAAGGUGCGAGAACUGGUGCAAAGGGAGAAUCAAGAGGGCCCUGCUCAGCCCAGCAGCCAUGGAGCAAACCCUUUACAAAGAGCUUCUGGGCCACACAGGUCCGGGGCAUUUCUGGGUACCUGUCAUCUGCAGUGCUGACUUUCAGAGGAGGCGCACUUUGAACGUGGACUUGAAGAACUCAACAACUUAUGGAAUUGUUCUCAGUGUGAUGUGUAGUACUUUUCUAUUGUAAGACUACCCACUAAAGAGAGGGGGAAUGGGCUAACCGAAUAGAGUUAAUGAUAUACAGUUAGAAAACUGUAGCUGCAGCUUGGGAUAAGAAGUCCCUUUCUUCCACCCUCCCCCAGCCUACAGCCGUUUCAGGCACUCGGUAACAUGGGAGUUGGUGAUUGCCAUGUGCACAGAUCCGUGAAUUUCCUUCUAAACCCAAGGUGUUGGUGAGCACACAAACUAGGGCUGGACCUUGAACUCAAGGCACUAUGGACUUGACCCACAGCCUAUUAUACUCCUUGGGUCCCAUCCCCCGUGCUCAGGAGGGGACUCUGAGAAGGGCAGGUGGUGGUGAGGGAAACCACACCAGCCCGGGACCUGGGAAGCUCUGGUUCUGACACAGGUAUAGUUGGUCCAGUGAUACUCAAGGUGAUGAUGACAGUGGCUGGAUUAAGGGAAACAAUUAUUGGAUACUGUGCUGGAAGUCUUUCCCUGCUUAAAUCCAAAGAACAGUUCACUGAAGUACACGCUAUUUUCACAAUGACGAAUCUUUUAGAGACCGAGUGCCAAAACUGCAGCCUCAAACCCACUUAUUUAUCACAAGAGCCAACACUGCCCCUGUAUGCGCUGUUAUCCAAUGCUCCCCUGCCCGGGCGAUGCUAGGCCGACUUGGCUCGGGUGCAGACAGAGAGGGCUCUGUGUGCCCACUGCAGCACAUGUGCCAUAGGUUCGAUGGCACUGCACUGUUUCCACUUAAUAAAUGAGAAAGCUGAAGCCAGAGGGAUUAAAUGACUGCUCGUGUUCACACUGCAGGAAGAGGGAGGACCUGGACUCACAUAGGAUCUCACUGACUCCAUUCUUGCCACUGCUCUAAUGCACCAUCAAACUAUGUCAGCUAACUGACACCAAAACAAAUCUCAGGUGCAUUGGAGACUAAACAUUAGCAUUGAAACCAUGAAAGUAUGAGAGAAAACUAGAGAAAACAAAAAAGCAUACCUUUUUGAAGUGAGGACUCGCUUAAAGCAAGAUACAUAACCAAUAAGUUCUUUAAAAAUUGACACAUUGGAUUUCAUGAAAGUAAUACUUUGGCCCAGGGACAAACAAGCUGUCCUGAAUUCUGUGGAAUAACAAUCAACAUUCCAAAUGGGAUUUUUCAUAGAAAUAUAAAGAAAUAGCCAGUAGUUGGUAUGGAAUCAGAAAAGACUGAAAAGAACAAAAACAGAAGAACCAAGCCAGAUGCAUCACAUUCCAUGGUUUCAAAGUAGAUUAUAAAGUUACUGUAAUAAAACAGCAUGGAAUAGGCAUGAAAAUAGACAUAUUGCCCAGUGGAACAAAAUAAAAGGCCAGAAAGAAAUCCAAGCAUUUACACUCAGUCGAUUUGAUUUUUCACAAACGUGUUAAGAAAGUACAGUGGGGGAAAGGACCAUCUCUUCUGUAGAACCUUUCGGAAAACUGGAUCUCCACAUGCACAGGAAUGAAAUUGGACACGCAUCUCACUGUGCAUUCAAAACCCAGCUCAAUAUGAACAAAGGCUUGAGACUAUGUAGACUUGAAAUAUAAAGCUUCUAGAAGAAAACUUAAGGGAAUAGCUCUAAGACAUUGAUCUGGAAAAUGAUUUCUUGGCUAGAACUCCAAAUCAAAGUAAAAAUUGACCAAGUGGAUUGCAUCAAACUACAAUGCUUCUCCACAGGAAUGGAAACAAUAGAAUGAAGAGAAAACCCUUGGCUUGGGAGAAAUUAUUUGCUAACUGUACCUCUGAACGGGACUAAUGUUCAAAUAUUUAAGGAAAACAAGCAACCCAAUAGCAAAAAACAUAAGUAACCCCAUUUAAAGAUGAGCAACAUAUUUGAACAGAUAUUUCUCAAAAGAGGAGAAAUAAAUGGGCCACAUAUAUAUGAAAGAUGUUCAAUAUCUAAUCAUCAGGGAAAUGCAGAUUAAAACCACAAUGAGGAACCACCUUGUUCCUGUUGCAAUGGGUACUACCCUGAAGAGGAAAGGUCAGAAGCACUAGUGAGGAUAUGGAAAAGGGAAC